AUUGAACGCUGGCGGCAUGCCUUACACAUGCAAGUCGAACGGUAACAGGUCUUCGGAUGCUGACGAGUGGCGAACGGGUGAGUAAUACAUCGGAACGUGCCUAGUAGUGGGGGAUAACUACUCGAAAGAGUGGCUAAUACCGCAUGAGAUCUACGGAUGAAAGCAGGGGAUCGCAAGACCUUGUGCUACUAGAGCGGCCGAUGGCAGAUUAGGUAGUUGGUGGGAUAAAAGCUUACCAAGCCGAAGAUCUGUAGCUGGUCUGAGAGGACGAUCAGCCACACCGGGACUGAGACACGGCCCAGACUCCUACGGGAGGCAGCAGUGGGGAAUUUUGGACAAUGGGCGCAAGCCUGAUCCAGCAAUGCCGCGUGCAGGAUGAAGGCCUUCGGGUUGUAAACUGCUUUUGUACGGAACGAAAAGCCCUGGGUUAAUACCCUGGGGUCAUGACGGUACCGUAAGAAUAAGCACCGGCUAACUACGUGCCAGCAGCCGCCGCUG
rnacentral:rRNA from 1 species